rnacentral:rRNA from 1 species
UGGGGAAUAUUGCACAAUCGGCGCAAGCCUGAUGCAGCCAUGCCGCGUGUAUGAAGAAGGCCUUCGGGUUGUAAAGUACUUUCAGUCGGGAGGAAGGUGGUAAGGUUAAUAACCUUAUCAAUUGACGUUACCGACAGAAGAAGCACCGGCUAACUCCGUGCCAGCAGCCGCGGUAAUACGGAGGGUGCAAGCGUUAAUCGGAAUUACUGGGCGUAAAGCGCACGCAGGCGGUUGAUUGAGUCAGAUGUGAAAUCCCCGGGCUUAACCCGGGAAUUGCAUCUGAUACUGGUCAGCUAGAGUCUUGUAGAGGGGGGUAGAAUUCCAUGUGUAGCGGUGAAAUGCGUAGAGAUGUGGAGGAAUACCGGUGGCGAAGGCGGCCCCCUGGACAAAGACUGACGCUCAGGUGCGAAAGCGUGGGGAGCAAACAGG